UCCGGGACGGAAGCACUGCCGUCACCUGCGGUCCCGCAGCCCCACGCCCGGCCCGCUGUCCCACAGAUCCCGCCCCCCUCCUCUCCGUCGAGAGUUUUUGGUGUCCUGGCUGGUUUUUGGAUGCACCCACUUCAUUGCAAGUUGGGAACGUGCGUGGGAGUACAACAGCCCUGCUUGUACCCGUGUCACUGAAAGGCAGAGCUACCUCUGGAGUGUGCUGGAAGGAUGCUGUGCCUUGGAAUACAACAGGCUUCUAUUCAGUGACUCAGUGCUACUGAAAAUAGCAGACGAGAGGGAAUCCUACCACGAUGUUUUCAAGCAAGCCUCAGCGCAUGUGUGCAUCAGAUGCAGAGCUGCUUCAUCUGUGUGGCCAGAAAGCUAGACUGCUGAGGUCUCCUGGUAGUCCCCUCUUGGUGGGCUACUGCAGGCCGUAUUCCAAACAGGACUGACUCCCCACAGCCUCUUACAGCUUCAUUGUGGCCAGUCCCUGGAACUAAACAAGGAAGAUGUAGGGAAGGUACUAUUCCCUCUCAGCCUAGCAACCAAUGACCCUUUUUUAAUACAGGGCCAACGCAAUAAUAAAGGAUUCAUAUUUACCUGUCUUCCCUCA